rnacentral:rRNA from 1 species
AUUGAACGCUGGCGGCAGGCCUAACACAUGCAAGUCGAACGAGUGGCGGACGGGUGAGUAAUGUCUGGGAAACUGCCUGAUGGAGGGGGAUAACUACGGGAAACGGUAGCUAAUACCGCAUACCAUCAGAUGUGCCCAGGUGGGAUUAGCUAGUAGGUGGGGUAACGGCUCACCUAGGCGACGAUCCCUAGCUGGUCUGAGAGGAUGACCAGCCACACUGGAACUGAGACACGGUCCAGACUCCUACGGGAGGCAGCAGUGGGGAAUAUUGCACAAUGGGCGCAAGCCUGAUACAGCCAUGCCGCGUGUAUGAAGAAGGCCUUCGGGUUGUAAAGUACUUUCAGCGGGGAGGCGUUACCCGCAGAAGAAGCACCGGCUAACUCCGUGCCAGCAGCCGCGGUAAUAC